UGGGGAAUUUUGGACAAUGGGGGAAACCCUGAUCCAGCCAUGCCGCGUGUAUGAAGAAGGCCUUAGGGUUGUAAAGUACUUUUGUUAGGGAAGAAAAGCUAGUUUUAAUAAAAAUUAGUGAUGACGUAC
rnacentral:rRNA from 1 species